UUCAAGUGAGAUCCUUGAAAACUGGAGUGAAGAAGAGUUCCACGUGAACAGCAGUUGAGUAUGGGUUAGUCGAUCCUAAAAUAUCGGCCAACGCCGUUGCCUGUUAUUGAGAACAGGAGUUCAAAUCCAUCUCGGCAAUCAAAAGGGAAACUGAUUAAUCGCGCAGUGAAAAGUAAUAUUAUUGUCUCGCAGUAGAACGGUGGUUCGAUUCCGCCUAUGAGAAAACCAAUCUCUGUAC
rnacentral:ncRNA from 1 species